GACGAACGCUGGCGGCGUGCUUAACACAUGCAAGUCGAACGAAGUGGUGAACGGGUGAGUAAUACGUGGGUAACCUGCCCUCCUUUAUGGGGUAAGCCUUGGAAACGGGGUCUAAUAACGACUUACGGGGGAUUGGCUCGCGGCUUAUCAGCUUGUUGGUGGGGUGAUGGCCUACCAAGGCGGUGUUGGGUAGCCGGCCUGAGAGGGUGAACGGCCACAUUGGGACUGAGAUACGGCCCAGACUCGUACGCGGGGCAGCAGUUGGGGAUAUUGCACAAAGGGCGAUAGCCGGAUGCAGCGACUACGCGUAGGGGAUGAAGGCUUUCGGGUUGUAAACCUCGUGCGCUAGCGGACGGGUAGGUGGAGAAGAAGCGCCGGCUAACUACGUGCCAGCAGCCGCGGUAAUUC
rnacentral:rRNA from 1 species